GUGGUUCAAAGGUAGAAUGCUCGCCUGCCACGCGAGCGGCCCGGGUUUCCCGGC
rnacentral:tRNA from 1 species